GUAAGGAAUAUUGGUCAAUGGAGGCAACUCUGAACCAGCCAUGCCGCGUGCAGGAAGACGGCCCUCUGGGUUGUAAACUGCUUUUAUCCGGGAAUAAACCUGCCUUCGUGAAGGUAGCUGAAUGUACCGGAAGAAUAAGGAUCGGCUAACUCCGUGCCAGCAGCCGCGGUAAAACGGAGGAUCCAAGCGUUAUCCGGAUUUAUUGGGUUUAAAGGGUGCGUAGGCGGCCUGUUAAGUCAGGGGUGAAAGACGGUGGCUCAACCAUCGCAGUGCCCUUGAUACUGAUGGGCUUGAAUGGACUAGAGGUAGGCGGAAUGUGACAAGUAGCGGUGAAAUGCAUAGAUAUGUCACAGAACACCGAUUGCGAAGGCAGCUUACUAUGGUCCUAUUGACGCUGAGGCACGAAAGCGUGGGGAUCGAACAGGAUUAGAUACCCUAGUAGUCC
rnacentral:rRNA from 1 species